GACAGAGGUGUCAAGCGUUGCUCGGAAUUACUGGGCGUAAAGCGUGUUUCGGUGGUUUGUUAAGUCAUGCGUGAAAGCUCUUGGCCUAACCAAGAAAUCGCGUGUGAUACUGGCUAACUAGAGGGUGGGAGAGGAGAGUGGAAUUCCUGGUGUAGCGGUGAAAUGCGUAGAUAUCAGGAGGAACACCUGUGGCGAAGGCGGCUCUCUGGUCCAUUUCUGGCACUUUCACACGAAAGCUAGGGGAGCAAACGGGAUUAGAAACCCCGGUAGU
rnacentral:rRNA from 1 species